AGUUAAUAGGAUUUAUAUGAUAGAGAUGGGCUUUACUAAUACUUCACUAAGUUAUUAACUAGUAGAGUUUAAUUUUCUUUAAUCUUUUAGGUGUAAAUAUCUAUUGGAUGAGAAGGGGCAAGAAUAUAUAAAUAAUAUUCAUUUAACCCAUUCACUUGGGGAAUCUUUGGUAAGAACUGCUGAAAAAACGACUUCACUAACUACAAAAAUUGAUGACACCAUCUUCCAGAAUCCUAUGGUACAAGAAGCUAUACGAAUGGGAUUUAGUUUCAGGGACAUUAAGAAAACAAUGGAAGAAAAAAUCCAAACAUCUGGGAGCAGCUAUCUAUCACUUGAGGUUCUGAUUGCAGAUCUAGUGAGUGCUCAGAAAGAUAAUACACAGGAUGAGUCAAGUCAGACUUCAUUGCAGAAAGACAUUAGUACUGAAGAGCAGCUAAGACGCCUGCAAGAAGAGAAGCUUUGCAAAAUCUGCAUGGAUAAAAAUAUUGCUGUAGUUUUUGUUCCUUGUGGACAUCUGGUCACUUGUAAACAAUGUGCCGAAGCAGUUGACAAAUGUCCCAUGUGCUACACAAUCAUUACGUUCAAGCAAAAAAUUUUUAUGUCUUAAUUCAGAGCCACAGUAGGCAUGUUAUGUUCUUCUUACUCUAAUUGAAUGUGUGAUGUGAGCAAACUUUAAGUAAUCAGCAUUGCAUUCCAUUAGCAUCUGCUUCCAAGUGGAAACAAAUGUUAACAGCACUGUUGCAGUCUAAACUUUGAAUUUCUAGAUCUUUCAGGUUAUUAGCUAUAUUGUUUAUCCAAUUUUUUACUCAAUUGAAACGUCAGACAAAGAAGCAUUUAAUAUUGUAACUUUUCGCCUUAUGUAUUUGUAGUACACUGACUUGAUUUCUAUGUGUAAGUGAAUUAAUCACCUGCAUUUUUCAUUCCUUUUGGAUAAGCUUAACAAAUGGAGUGUUCUGUAUAAGCAGGGAGAUUUCAGUUAAUCUACCCAAUCACUUAAUUUGUUUAUUGUGAACAUGGAAUGAACUGUUCCACACUGGUGGGAGGAUAAACAUUGUCUUUAGAUGUUUGUUUCUGUGUUUUAUGAUUCUGUCUGUUUCCUUUCGAAAUUAUAAACGUACUUGUGUGAA